rnacentral:rRNA from 1 species
CUACGGGUGGCACCAGUAAGGAAUAUUGGUCAAUGGACGAAAGUCUGAACCAGCCAUGCCGCGUGAAGGAUUAAGGUCCUCUGGAUUGUAAACUUCUUUUAUAUGGGACGAAAAAAGGUCUUUCUAGAUCACUUGACGGUACCAUAUGAAUAAGCACCGGCUAACUCCGUGCCAGCAGCCGCGGUAAUACGGAGGGUGCAAGCGUUAUCCGGAUUCACUGGGUUUAAAGGGUGCGUAGGCGGGCAGGUAAGUCAGUGGUGAAAUCCUGGAGCUCAACUCCAGAACUGCCAUUGAUACUAUCUGCCUUGAAUAUUGUGGAGGUAAGCGGAAUAUGUCAUGUAGCGGUGAAAUGCUUAGAUAUGACAUAGAACACCCAUUGCGAAGGCAGCUUACUACGCAUAUAUUGACGCUGAGGCACGAAAGCGUGGGGAUCAAACAGGAUUAGAUACCCUCGUAGUC